UUUUCUUUUUUUUAGCCAAUUUGCAUAAAAAAUUCACUAGUUUUGUGAUUUUAUAAAAGUGGGUCAUCUUUUUCAAUUUCACAAAUUCUCGCCAGAUUUUCAGCCGGCUGACCAAAAUGCCCCUCAUCUACAUCCGCCUGUUUCGUAUUCUGUAAGAUACGUAUACCCUAUCGUACAGUCCUGACGGACAUUAAAUGUAUCCCUUUCGCUUUACGCAAUUUCGCUCUCAUCGGAACCCGAACCAAAUCGGCCCCGCUAUUCGCCAGCCUCCGAUGUUUGCUGUUCGGCUUUAAGAAAUUAAAUUUGCUGAAGCUACAUGACAAAAAUUACACGGCCGACAACAGGAAUAAUAGUGCAAUGCCAAGAAGCAACGCGAAGAGAAAUUGUACGACAACCCUUCUAACAUUGCAUCUUUCGGCUGGUACCAAUGCAAACUCCACCGCUCACAUGUGCAACGCUGACAUUUAAUCUUCUCCCUCACAUGUGUAAUGCUGACAUUCAAUCUUGUCCCUCACCAGGGGAACCUCCCAUUUCCCUGUAAGGUAGUAGUUCAACAAAAGGCUUGAUCGGAUGGUAUUUCGGGCAACCUGCGGGAAAUACAUCCGAAAACUCUUGGACCAUUGGAAUGUCCUCUAGCGGCGGAGUCUCCCACUACUAGAAAAUUAGUAAUUAGUUGUAUUUAUUUAUGCUGCUAAAUAAUCAACAAAUACUGUUAAAAGUUUUAGCAGCAUAUGUUGCUAAAAGUAUUAGCAGCAUUUAUUAUAAAUGCCGCCAAUGUAAAUCAAUUAGUGUCAUUAGGAACAUGCCGCAAUGUAAAUCAAUUAGUGUCAUUAGGAACAUGCCGCUAAAAGGGAUUAAAUGUUAACUUUAAAUUAUUUAUUAGUUGCACAUAAAUAUAAUGCCGCUAAUAUAAAUAUCUGAUUUUAGAAAUUAAAAUUUUAAAAUUUUAGAAAUUAAAAUUUUAAUUUUAUUUUAAAUUUUUUUGAGAUGCUACCCGCUUCCUUUAUUUCUUUCACAAAUAAACUAAAUAAACUUUGCUGGAAAUAUGAAUCAAUUAGGAUUCGAAUUGAGACCUCGAGAACCAACCACCAAGCCCUUUGCCACUUGCGCUAGCGACUAUUAGUUAUAUAUAUUUAAAUUUUUUAAAUUUUAAGUCUUCUAUUUUAAAAUUUUAAAAUUUUAAAUUUUAAAUUUUUAAAUUUAGAUACUAAAUUUAAAUUUUUAAUUUUCAAAUAUCAAAUAUUAAGUUUCAAAAUUAAUAGUUUUAAAUUUGAAAAUUUAAAAUUUAAAACAAAUUUAAAAUUUAAAAUUUAAAAUUUAAAAUUUAAAAUUUAAAAAUUUUAAAAUUUUAAAUUUAGAAUUUAAAUUUUAAAUUAUAAAUUUUAAAAUUUUAAAUUUUAAAUUAUAAGUUUAAUUUUUAAAAUUAUAUGUUUCAAAUUUUAAACUUUAAUUUUAAAAUUUUUAAUUCUAAAUAAAAUGGGAUAUAUUAAUAAUUAUAUAUUAAUUAGUAAUAAUAUUUAGUAACAAGCGCUGCUAGUUUAUUAUAUUUAGCGGCAUUCACUAAUUUAUGCUGCUAAUUUAUCCUAUUUUGCAACAUUAAUAGUAAAUUACUGCUAAAUAAUUAAAUCUAGCGGCAAUUAUCAAGUAAUGCUGCUAAAUAUAUUAAUUGUCAUGAUUUAAAUAAAUGUUGCGAAACUAAAUAUUGCGGUAUUUAGCAAUAAGUGCUGCUACUUUAUUACAUUUAAUGUCAUUUUUUAUAAAAUGCUGGAAACUUCAGCGGCAUUCACUAAUUUAUGCUGUUAAUUUAUUCUAUUUUGCAACAUUAAUAGUAAAUUGCUGCUAAAUUAUUAAAUCUAGCAACACUUAUCAAGUAAUGCUGUUAAAUAUAUUAAUUAGCGUUAUUUAAAUAAAUGCUACGAGUAAAUGUCGCUAAAUCAUGAAUUUGUUGUAAUGUCCCUACAAGUCUCCACCACGGUUGCCAAAUAAGCCGCGCAACCGCCACUAACCAAUUUUCUUGCCCUUGACGCCGACACCAUCAUGACAAAAAGCGAACUUUUACAAGCACGGUAGGUGAACUCCUUUUAUCCAGACUCACGAAAACUUAUCACCUUACUUUUGCAGUCAAUAAAAGCAUAGUAUUUUGAGAGCCAGUCCAUG
rnacentral:lncRNA from 1 species